rnacentral:rRNA from 1 species
GAUGAACGCUGGCGGCGUGCCUAAUACAUACAAGUCGAGCGAACGGACGAGAAGCUUGCUUCUCUGAUGUUAGCGGCGGACGGGUGAGUAACACGUGGAUAACCUACCUAUAAGACUGGGAUAACUUCGGGAAACCGGAGCUAAUACCGGAUAAUAUUUUGAACCGCAUGGUUCAAAAGUGAAAGACGGUCUUGCUGUCACUUAUAGAUGGAUCCGCGCUGCAUUAGCUAGUUGGUAAGGUAACGGCUUACCAAGGCAACGAUGCAUAGCCGACCUGAGAGGGUGAUCGGCCACACUGGAACUGAGACACGGUCCAGACUCCUACGGGAGGCAGCAGUAGGGAAUCUUCUGCAAUGGGCGAAAGCCUGACGGAGCAACGCCGCGUGAGUGAUGAAGGUCUUCGGAUCGUAAAACUCUGUUAUUAGGGAAGAACAUAUGUGUAAGUAACUGUGCACAUCUUGACGGUACCUAAUCAGAAAGCCACGGCUAACUACGUG